UGGGGAAUUUUGGACAAUGGGCGAAAGCCUGAUCCAGCAAUGCCGCGUGUGUGAAGAAGGCCUUCGGGUUGUAAAGCACUUUUGUCCGGAAAGAAAUCCUUGGCUCUAAUACAGUCGGGGGAUGACGGUACCGGAAGAAUAAGCACCGGCUAACUACGUGCCAGCAGCCGCGGUAAUACGUAGGGUGCAAGCGUUAAUCGGAAUUACUGGGCGUAAAGCGUGCGCAGGCGGUUUGCUAAGACCGAUGUGAAAUCCCCGGGCUCAACCUGGGAACUGCAUUGGUGACUGGCAGGCUAGAGUAUGGCAGAGGGGGGUUAGAAUUCCACGUGUAGCAGUGAAAUGCGUAGAGAUGUGGAGGAAUACCGAUGGCGAAGGCAGCCCCCUGGGCCAAUACUGACGCUCAUGCACGAAAGCGUGGGGAGCAAACAGGAUUAGAUACCCUGGUAGUCCACGCCCUAAACGAUGUCAACUAGUUGUUGGGGAUUCAUUUCCUUAGUAACGUAGCUAACGCGUGAAGUUGACCGCCUGGGGA
rnacentral:rRNA from 1 species